rnacentral:rRNA from 1 species
UGGGGAAUAUUGCACACUGGGCGCAAGCCUGAUGCAGCCAUGCCGCGUGUAUGAAGAAGGCCUUCGGGUUGUAAAGUACUUUCAGCGGGGCGGAAGGUGUUGAGGUUAAUAACCUCCGCAAUUGACGUUACCCGCAGAAGAAGCACCGGCUAACUCCGUGCCAGCAGCCGCGGUAAUACGGAGGGUGCAAGCGUUAAUCGGAAUUACUGGGCGUAAAGCGCACGCAGGCGGUCUGUCAAGUCGGAUGUGAAAUCCCCGGGCUCAACCUGGGAACUGCAUUCGAAACUGGCAGGCUAGAGUCUUGUAGAGGGGGGUAGAAUUCCAGGUGUAGCGGUGAAAUGCGUAGAGAUCUGGAGGAAUACCGGUGGCGAAGGCGGCCCCCUGGACAAAGACUGACGCUCAGGUGCGAAAGCGUGGGGAGCAAACA